UACUUACUUCAGAAGCAUGUCGUCUAAACUGGAGCCAUAGAGGAUUAGCAUGGCCCCUACACAAGGAUGAUAUGCAAAUGAAGGAAGCACCCCAUGCCCUU
rnacentral:snRNA from 1 species